CCCAGUAUUGUAAAUUUGAACAAUUCAUUCUAUUUAUUUAUGCAUAAAGACAACACAAGGACAACGCACAUGAACAUUUUGGAAAAUGUGCCAUUGUUUCAACUACAAACCUUUGGCAAGAUGUUUAAGCCUGCCACACACGAGAGCAAUCAGCUGAGCAAACGGCCUCGAAUGACUGUUUGCUCAGCAGAUUGCUCGCUGUGUGCGCCUGAUUUUGACUGAGUUUUCUGCCUCACGAGACGCUGAGGUGAAUAUCUGACCAGUUAGAUAUUUUCCACCUCACAGGGGUAAAAACUCGCUGUGUGCGCACUACUGAGCUGCUGGUUGAGCUGAAAUAUUCUAGUGGCCAACCAAAGCACGUUUUCCACUCACAUGACCCCAAGAUGUAUUCAGAUGCAGCCCCUUACCCUGUCUGCGUGUCUGAAAAAUAAACAAAACGGUACCUUGCGGAUCGAUGGGCCCACUGUUUCCAUUACCCUUUCGGAAGGAUUCUGGGUCUUCCAGGUGUGUCUUGGAGUAAAUUGGCAUAAACUCCUGGCCUGGUCCAUCUUUCCAGCUACUGUACCCAUAUUUUCCUAACCUUGAAAUGCCGGUGGCAGCGACGUUUCGUCAACAAAAAAAGGAUAGGCAUUUCCUCUGUUUCCAGCUCUUGUCUGUUUUGUUUCUUUUCUGACAUGCAGACAGGGGGCUGCCAUCUUGGGGUCAUGUGAGCGGAGAACGUGCUUUGGUUGGCCACUAGAAUAUUUCAGCUCAACCAGCAGCUCGGUAAUGCGCACACGGCGAGUUUUUACCCCUGUGAGGCGGAAAAUAUCUUAACUGGUCAGAUAUUCACCUCAGCGUCUCGUGAGGCAGAAAACUCAGUGAAAAUCAGGCGCACAUGGCGAGGUAUCUGCUGAGCAAGCGGUCAUUCGAGGCUGUUUGCUCAGCAGAUGGCACUCAUGUGUGGCAGGCUUGAAGGCACUGAGAAAAAUCAACAAUCACUGCAAAGAAUUCAAGCAGCUUUCAUUAGCGUAACGCUGGCACACACGGAAGCCAUCUCACUUUAUUCAUAAAUGAGAGCACAAAGCAACAGAAUGAACAGGAGUAGGGCUGGGCGAUAUGGCCUAAAAUCAAUAUCAACUUAUAUUGAAGAUCUCACCUCGAUAACGAUAAGUAGACGAUAACUACAGGAAUGCGUAGCAACAAUAUUUGUCCACUAGAUGGGGCUGUCUCAUGUAUUACAUUGACUAAAAUUUUACAUGACUCAAGGUGCUACAGCUUCUUAAAGGGACAUAAAUGUGGCCAACUUACACAUCUUUUCAUUUUUUUAUAAUCAAAUUUAUUGACAUGGGAAAAAUUAUCUGGAUGAGAGACAAGAACUUGGAUAACGAUAAAUCUUUGACAUGUUGCCCAGCCCUAAACAGGAGUCUAUCAGACUGCAUUUAUUGUUAUUUACAUGACAAUCUACUGAAAUAAAAAUGGCCACAGUCAGAGUUUCAGUUCAGAUGUGAUUAGUGUAUCAUCUCCCUUUCAUUUUUGUAAGGAUGAUACCAAUGAGCCGGACCUCGGAUGCAGCAGUUGUCCUCCUGACAACCAUCACCGAUGAUGCCGAGAGUCCAGGCAUGCUCAGUUGAAGUUUCCCUCUCUGCGCGUUCAAGAUGUAAGAAAAAUAAUACGAAAGAAAUGCAACAAUGAAAACUUCAAAAAGGCAUCAACAACCAAGCAAGUGGAUCCAUAAAAUGGACUGAUUUUUUUAAAGGCAUUUUUUAAAAAGUCUUUCAAAAUGGACAGAAUUAACGUGUUAAACAUGUUCAGAACAGUUUGCGUUCUCAUCUUUGAUUAAUCCUGGUAAACAGGUCUGUUUUUGUUCUGUUCUAAUUCUCUCUGUUUAAUACAUUUAAACAAAAUUACUUAGCUACUUUAUUAACUUUUUUCUCUGCAUAAAGACGAAGUAUCAGUAAAUAGUGGAAAUUAAAUGUAUUGGUAGUAAGCAAAUAGCAGAUGUUAAAUGUUACUUGCAGUAUGUGUUUAUAGAGAAAAUAGAGAUACUAAAAUUUACUAAAAGAAUAUUACGUCAAGUUUACUGUAAAGUGUACUUUCAAAACUGUAAGUAUACUCAAUUAUAUAAGAAGUACACUACAAGUAAACAUAUAUUAUUACUUUAAGUAUAAUUUUAAGUAUACAUUCAAAGAGAAAAGUAUACUCAAUUAUUUCAAAAGUACACUGCAAGUAAACGUAUAAUGUUAAAGUUUAUUUUUAAGUAUACUUUCAAGGGCAAAAGUACUCAAUUUUAUUAGAAGUAAACUUAUACUGUUACUUUUAAGUAUACUUUCAAGGAGAAAAGUAUACUCAAUUAUAUCUGAAGUACUCUAUAAGUGAACUUAUAUUAUUACUUAAAGUAUAUUUUAAGUAUACAUUCAAGAAGAAAAGUAUACUCAAUUGUAUGAAAAGUAAACUUAUAUUGUUACUUUAAGUAUACUUUCAAGGACAAAAGUAUACUUAAUUAUAUCAGAAGUACACUCCAAGUACACUUGUGAUUAGGGUUGUCACGGUAUGAAAAUGUAACCUCACGGUUAUUGUGACCAAAAUUAUCACGGUUUUCGGUAUUAUCGCGGUAUUUUUUAAACGGUGUUGCAUAUGUUCAGAAAGCAUUGAUAGUCCUGUUCUACACAAACUGAAAUAGUUCUGAAAAGGUUUAACAGUGUUUAUUAAAUCUAAAAUAACACAAAGUCAUAGCAAAAGUGCAACUUUUCACAAGUAAAGGAACAAAUAGCUUCUUUUUCUGGAACGUGUUACAGUAGUCAGUGCAGGUUUAAAUUAUACAAAUCCCAACAUUCAAAACAUAAACAAUAUGUAAACAAAUCAACGAAACACCACUUGUUUUCUCAUAUACUUGUUUUCUUCAUUAUCAAAAUGAAAAUCUAAAACUCCAGUCCACACUUGACUUGAGCGCUGUACAAGUCAACCUUAAAAAAUAUGUAUUUAAAAUAAAUAGCCACUUUAAACAAAUUACUAAAAUAACUACUACACUAUGUAAUCAAAUCCAAAUGUUCAAGUAUAAAUGGCAUUGAAUAAGUAAACAAAUCAAUGACAAGGAACUAAUUGUAUAUUUCUCUUCAUCAUCAACAAAUACGAUGCUUCAUCCAGCAACAGGGUGUCCGUGACACGGUUUAAAUGCUGGCAGAGGACGCUGCGGCUGCAGUAUAUAGUGACUCGUUGCAUUCUCCCUCAACCAAAAGUCCUCGCGUCAUGCAUUUAAGCUAAAAUGCUAAUGCUAACUUACCUUGCACUGGCUGUAGAGACGUGGGUGAUGGUCACACAGAUGUGCCGUUAGAUUCGAAGUGUUGCUGCCUUUUGCAGACACUUGUUUCCUGCACGUUCUGCAAACGGGAUAGCCGUCUUCUAUUAACUGUCCCUCAGCGUUUUUCAGAAGUCCAAAAUAUGCCCAUACUUCUGAUUUAGUCUUCUUUGAGGGCUGAUGGAUGUCCUGGGCGCUGCCGUCUCCUCCUUCGGCCGUUAUUCAGCUUCAAAGUUUUGGUGCCGUUGCAAACUAAAAAGUGCGUGUGCGCGCCGCGGGAACUUCAGCUGAAGCGACGGUGGCUGGUAAGGGUCACCGCGCUGAAACCGCGGCCACGGUAAACCCACCGAGAUAAUUUAGUUUUUUAAAAACUGGACGGUUAUUUUUAUUGUCAACUUUUUUACCGGGGUUUACCGCUAUACCGGUUACCGUGACAACCCUACUUGUGAUGUUACUUUAAGUAUACUUUCAAAGAGAAAAGUGUACUCAAUUAUAUCAGAAGUACACUACAAAUAAACUUAAAUUAUUACUUUGAAUUUAGACCCAAGGAGUAUAAUUCUAAGUAAACUUUAAGAACAAGUAUGCAAAUAAACUUAUGUACACUUAAGCAUACUUGAAAUUAGAUACUUAAAGUAUACUUCUUUUUCGUAAGGGUUUCAGAAACUAAAGUUUUUGCAAUGUUAUACUAAUGUUACUGCAAAGUAAUAUUAACCUUAAGAUAACGUUUCAGAAACGUUAAUCUUCUGUUCCAUUAUUGUUUUGCUAACCUUAAGAUAACGUUCCAGAAUCAUUAUGCUGAUGUUCAAGCGUUGUUUUGCUAACCUUAAGAUAACGUUCCAGAUACAUUAUACUUGUCAUGUUCUGUGUCCCUUUGUUCCCCAUCCCCUCCAAUUCCCACUCCAGGUUCUCCUUUUGUGUUUCAUAUCGCCCUCAUAUGUCCUUUGUCUGCAUCUCAUUUAUGUGUCUCCUGUGUUCCUUUAGUCUUCUCCAGUCACCCCUCUGCAGCCAGUCAUCCCUCUGCAGUGUUUAUGGUUUCAGCUUUUCAUUUUUAUUAGUCUCUUUAAUAUGUUUUGUCCCACCGGUUUUUGUAGUUCUCCUUCCCUUUAGAAUUUUAGUUAUAUGGUUGCUUUUGUGUUUUUAGGUUCACUCUUAGGUCAUGUUAGUUUCUUCCCUGAUUAGUCAUUGCUUUCACCUGGUCCUCCCCCCACACUCCACACACCUGCAGCUCAUCUGCCUCCCAUUAUGCCCCAGUGUAUUUAAGCCCUGUCUUGUCUCUGUGUCUUGUCGGUCCAUUGUUGUUUGUUGUAAUUCUGUCAAGUUCUUCUCGUGCCUCUAGUGCUUGGAUCUAGUCUUCUCGUGCCUCUUGUAUUUUUGGAUCUCCAGAUCUCUAUCUGGAUUUUUGGACUGUUGGCUCCCAGCCUUUUGGAUUACUUUUGUUUUUUGGUUACUCCUAAAAUAAAGGAUUUCACUUUA